UGUGGCCAGCAGAUGUAGGGGAAAGAUAAAAGUAAUACUUUGUGAUAUUCUGUCCUGUGUGUGUGUGUGUGUGUGUGUGUGUGUGUAUGGAUAGGUAAUAGAUAAAAUAAUAUUAGUGAAAUUGUUGUAUAGAAAAAACAAAGAAGCAAGUGAAGAAUAAAGAAGAAGACAAUAAGAAGGAAAGAUACAUCAGUGCACCGGAAAGACAAAAAGAAGAAAUAAAAGAAUAAGGGAACUAUACAGGAAGGAAGAAAUUGAACUAGAAUGAGACAAUGUAUUAGAUUCAAAAAUAUUCUGAUGAAAGGAGAAGCACGUACAUGGAUCAGAUCAAUGGCAGAUCAGAUACAGUCCUAAGAACAGUGAGGAGGAGCAAUGCACAGUACAGAGCUCUGUCUUUCUCCUCACCAGCCAGGACUACGGCUUUUUGGAAAAAGAUUAAACACAGGGACAUAUCCAUCUAAUAACAAGAGAGGAAACA